AACCUGAGUGUUCAUAUUUGGUACCACAUACCUGUCGAAUCGGUAUUGAGUAUAUUGCAUAAGUGUUGCAUUUGUAUUGGUUGUUAUUGAUGUGUUGUUGGAUGAGAUGUUGUUGCAUAUGAUGUUAAUGAUAAUUGAGAUGUGGUUUUGUAUGAUGUUAAUGACAAUUGAGAUGUUGUCGUGUAUGAUGUUGAUUAUGAUUUGGAUGCAAGAAUGUGAUAUAUUGUUGUGCAUGAUUGUGUAGAUAAUGUACUCUAUUCUUCAUUCUAUAUCAUUAUUAUUG
rnacentral:lncRNA from 1 species